AAUACAAGCCAGAACUGCAUGCAUUCUCACGCCCCAGAACUGGCGUCCCAGCCCAAGUGCGAAGUUGGGCGUUUCAACCUGAAAAGCAGAGUAAGAGCCAUUCAAAGCAGCAAGUUACAGUACCUUGAGAAGUCUGACAGAUGGGAGAAAGGCUGCGUGGCAUAGCUUCCGGAUGGUCCAAUUUAGGGGUCGAGAAGCAUCAGUCUGAUUCAUGACCCCUUCCAAAUUCCACCGGGAAGACAAGAAACUGCAAAUCUGGGCAGUGCCUAGAAAAUAAACGGUCCCCCACGGCCCUGGCAUCCCAUGGUCAUCUCCACACCUGCAAAUUCCAUUAGGGCAGAGGCUUCCUGGAACUUGGGAGUCUAGUCAAGUGGCGUUUCCUGAGCCCCUGAACCUUCUUAAGAAAGCCACCUCCCCUCUUCCUGCAGCCGUGCUCAUGCAUACCAAAUGUGGCCGAAUGGAGGCACGCUGCCUGCUGCUUCGGGGAGGGGGAUGCUUGAUUUCGAAGGAGAGGGACAGCCUGCACAAAACAGCCUGUGGUCGGAGUCAGAGGAGCCUGCUCCAGAAUGCGCGCUCCCUCUCCUGCUCUCCUUCUGCAAACACAGUGGGGAGAAGGACAUUUUGAAGUGUUGGCAGCUGGGAUGUCAGGCACGGUGCUGGGCACUUUUCAUCAUGUAGGAGAAGCCACUACAGAGAACCAGCGGGUAAAUACACACACCUGACAUUCCUGACAGCGUCCUCCACCCCUGCAACUGAAAGGCAACCACACAUCUAGAAAUAAGCUAUGAAACUAAUAUAUAAAAAAAUGUGUUGCAUUGAAAAAUUAAAAGAUAUGCAAACAUCUUGUAUCUCACUAAAAAUAAAAACCACACAUGCUAAAUGGGACGUAUAUGCCACAUCCCCAUCCCCAGAGGCUCAGGGAUCAUGGUUGAAGAGAAGAUGGAAAAAAUACCAGUGCCUGAGGCAGUGGAUGGUUACAAGGAAGCAGUGUCCUUAGGACAGAGCAACUGUGACAGCAAACACAAGUGCUAUUGGCAACUGGUAGCUGCUGGGAGGCGAGUCAGUAGGACCCUGGUAAAUUGACCAGGCUCCAAUAGAAGAGAACACAACCAGGAUUAUUUGUGCAGCACACACUGGUCUUGAUGGCUUACAAAAAGAAGAAGAAGAAGAAGAAGAAGAAGAAGAAGAAGAAGAAGAAGAAGAAGAAGAAGAAGAAGAAGAAGAAGAAGAAGAAGAAGAAGAAGACACAAAAUUGAGUGGGUAGGGAGGGGAAUGGAUCUGUGAGGAGCUAAAAGAGGGAGGUAAAUGAGAUCAAACCCCUUAUAUGAAAUUCUCAAAUAACUAACAGACUAUUGUUUGUUAGUCACACACAUAAAGUGCACAACAAAUUUAAAAGGUCAGGAGCUAAAGAACACCCACGUUGAGCUUUGAAAUCCUAUUACUUCCCAUUCACAACGGGAAUGAUUUUUUUUUUUUUUGCAAUGAUUCAAAAAUUUUAAUGAGUCCAUGGAGCCUUGUUAAAAGCGUAAGAAUUUGAGAUGUUCAUUUUAAACUACUUGAUAGUCACAGUUUCCUGAUGCCUAUGAUGCUAUGCUGUUUAUUACUGCACCUCUUCUCUCUGUUGUAAGCUUAGGUGUGUGCAACACAGUGUGUACAAACAGUUACACCUCUGUGUAGACAGUGUAUUAGAGGAAAUUCAUCAGCCUUACCAUGGUGCUAUUGAACUAAUGCACCUAUUGAAUUAUCUGUGGGGUGGGGAGAUUGAAGACAUCAGUCUUCAAUUUCUGUUUGAAGAAACUCUAUCAGUUGAACAGAAUCUCAGAAUCUCAGUAUUGCUAACAGUGCACCUUAAGAAAAGUAUUGGCCACGGACUAGUCAAACAUGGACACAUUCAAGUCAAACAGUAGAUAUAUCCCUGCCAGUGUCUUCUGGCUCUCAUCCAUGAGAGCUGAGUAUACCAGCCACACAUUGAGCCUUGUGCAUGUGGAGCCUUUCAUGCUGAUGGCCAGGACCACAUUAGAACAUAAGGUCUGCUCACCUGGGAAAGAGGGACAUACUGUGAUCUGGAAAAUCUUCAAAGGGGUGGCACUGCCUCAGAGUGGAAUUUCAUGAUGAAAGCUAAUGAAAAUUGUACGUCUUGUACUUGCUAUUUAUUCUGGUCAUUCUUUGAGAAAAUGGGUCCCUGUGCUCAUUCUGUUAUCUUAUUUCCAACAACGAUGAGCCUUAUUCAUAGCAGCUCAGGAAUUAGAUGAUUUUAGUUGGUUGGCCAUUUUAUAUUUUGGGAUUUUUUUUUUUGAAGGGGGAUUAAAAUCAAUGCAACUUGAAACCAGGGUAAACUGGACUUGAAACCCUAUUAAGCUAUUUGGCAAUUAAUAUAAUUUUUCGUAACUCUUAAUUGUUAAAAACAGAUAGAGCUGAUUGUGAUAAAGGCAAAAAUGAUCGACCAAUUGCUGAGUGCUAACCACAAAGAGUAUUAUGUACCAAGAGCUCACUCAGCUUAUGCCUCUUAAUACACUCAGAAAGUUUGUAACAUUCUCUCACUAUGACUAACAAAGAAGCCCUCUCUCAAGUUGAUAUUCCUUCAGGAGGUCACCUGAGGCAAGGUAGACUUAAAUCUAGGCCCAUCUGAUUCUAUCAUCUAUAGUUUUACCUAUUACAAGAUACUGGUGGCCAUUUUAAAAGGCAAGGAUGAAGAAGAGCUCUUCUGACUUUCCGUGAAGAAACCAGCGUUUGAGAUGUUGAACCUGAACAGAGACAAAGCAGUGCUGGAGAAUUCACCAUGAUUCCUGAGACUGGACAGCACAGCCCUUUCAUGGCUCUGGCUUUUGUUCUCCCUAUUGACUCUCGCUCACUCCCCUUCCCACUUUGUGGUUUCAGUAGGCAGAGCUCCAUAGUGAGACAAAGACUGUCCAUACUCAUUUGGCAUGCCCAAGAGUUAUUUAACAGCUCCCUUCCAACAUGGUACAUACUAAAUUAAAAAAAUAAUGUUUCUACAAUGUUCAUAGGCAGGUUCAGCUUUUUCCUACACAGACAAAGUUGUUUACCUCUCAUUAUUAUCCACAUUUUAUUCCUACCUGCAUUUUCUAGAUCAGGAAAGCAAUGCUUAAAUUAAAAGUUGAAUGUAUACACAAGUUUAUUCUGCAAGUUUCAGAGCCAUGGUUUUUAUAUACUGUAUGAGGCUUAUUAGCAUGUUUAAGUAAACUUACAUUUAGGGCAAUGGAAACAGUUUCAGAUACCUGAUGAGACCUACCAUUCUAAAUAUUUAGAAUAGAAAUAGAUGGGUUCCAACACACAAUAAUGCACUUAGGGCAAAACUGUAUGGCUAUCAUGGUUAAUAAAACUCAAAAAUGUCCAUGUAA
rnacentral:lncRNA from 1 species